rnacentral:tRNA from 1 species
GGGGAUGUAGCUCAGUGGUAGAGAACUUGCCUAGCAAGCAAGAGGCCCUGGUUUUAAUCUUCAGCACCA